CCUACGGGGGGCUGCAGUGGGGAAUAUUGGACAAUGGGGGGAACCCUGAUCCAGCCAUGCCGCGUGUGUGAAGAAGGCCCUCGGGUUGUAAAGCACUUUCAGUGAGGAAGAACGCCUGGUGGUUAAAACCCAUCAGGAAAGACAUCACUCACAGAAGAAGCACCGGCUAACUCCGUGCCAGCAGCCGCGGUAAUACGGAGGGUGCGAGCGUUAAUCGGAAUUACUGGGCGUAAAGCGCGCGUAGGUGGCUUGAUAAGCCGGUUGUGAAAGCCCCGGGCUCAACCUGAGAACGGCAUCCGGAACUGUCAAGCUAGAGUGCAGGAGAGGAAGGUAGAAUUCCCGGUGUAGCGGUGAAAUGCGUAGAGAUCGGGAGGAAUACCAGUGGCGAAGGCGGCCUUCUGGACUGACACUGACACUGAGGUGCGAAAGCGUGGGUAGCAAACAGGAUUAGAUACCCUGGUAGUC
rnacentral:rRNA from 1 species